rnacentral:rRNA from 1 species
UAAGACAGAGGUGGCAAGCGUUGUUCGGAUUUACUGGGCGUAAAGAGCGUGUAGGCGGUUGGGCAAGUCAGUUGUGAAAUCCUAUGGCUUAACCAUGGAAUUGCUUCUGAUACUGCUCAGCUAGAGUGCAGGAGAGGAGAGUGGAAUUUCCAGUGUAGCGGUGAAAUGCGUAGAUAUUGGAAGGAACACCGGUGGCGAAGGCGGCUCUCUGGCCUGUAACUGACGCUGAGAUGCGAAAGCGUGGGGAGCAAACAGGAUUAGAUACCCUGGUAGUCCACGCCCUAAACGAUGGGCACUAAGUGUCGGAGGUAUCGACCCCUCCGGUGCCGCACCUAACGGAGUAAGUGCCCCGCCUGGGGAGUACGGCCGCAAGGUUG